GAUAAACUUUAGGGGUGUUUCCUAAAAUUGAAAAUAUCAAUUUUUGUGAAACUGAGAUUUACCCUUUGAACCUGAUGAAGUUAGUACUUACGUAGGGAAAAGUGAAUGUUUUAUU
rnacentral:ncRNA from 2 species